CCUACGGGAGGCAACAGUGAGGAAUAUUGGUCAAUGGACGAGAGUCUGAACCAGCCAAGUAGCGUGAAGGAUGACUGCCCUAUGGGUUGUAAACUUCUUUUAUAUGGGAAUAAAAUGUUCCACGUGUGGGAUUUUGUAUGUACCAUAUGAAUAAGGAUCGGCUAACUCCGUGCCAGCAGCCGCGGUAAUACGGAGGAUGCGAGCGUUAUCCGGAUUUAUUGGGUUUAAAGGGUGCGUAGGCGGGUUAUCAAGUCAGCGGUAAAAUCGUGGAGCUCAACUCCAUCCAGCCGUUGAAACUGAUGAUCUUGAGUGGGCGAGAAGUAUGCGGAAUGCGUGGUGUAGCGGUGAAAUGCAUAGAUAUCACGCAGAACUCCGAUUGCGAAGGCAGCAUACCGGCGCCCGACUGACGCUGAAGCACGAAAGCGUGGGUAUCGAACAGGAUUAGAUACCCUUGUAGUC
rnacentral:rRNA from 1 species